UACGGAGGGUGCGAGCGUUGUCCGGAAUCACUGGGCGUAAAGGGCGCGUAGGUGGCGCGGGUAGUCGUCGGUGAAAGCUCAGGGCUCAACCCUGAGUCGGCCGGUGAUACUCCCGUGCUCGAGUGUGGUAGAGGCCAAUGGAAUUCCGGGUGUAGCGGUGGAAUGCGUAGAGAUCCGGAAGAACACCGGUGGCGAAGGCGGUUGGCUGGGCCACAACUGACACUGAUGCGCGACAGCGUGGGGAGCAAACAGG
rnacentral:rRNA from 2 species